UGAUGUGUUGCUGCAUAUAUGAGAAGUUUGUGGGUAAUGUAAAUGACGAACCCUAAUCUUUUUCCACCGUUCAUCUCACGCCAUUGUCCUUCACCUCACGUCGCUGCCAAUUAUUUCCUCGCUAUCAUUUAUCCUCUCAUCGCUUCUCAUCUCCUCGCCGCUGCAAGAAACGCUAUUGUUGCUUCCUUCAUCGAGCUUCUAUCUGGUUCUCGAUCUGGCUUCGAUCUGAAUAUUUGUUGCUGCCGCUUAAUUCACCGCCAUCGUUCAUCUCCCUGCCGCUGCUCAUCCCCUCGCGACACCUAUCAACAUCGUGCCGCUGCCUUCAAUGAGCUUCUACGAUCUUGUUCUGGCUUCGAUCUGAAGGUUAGCCAUCGCCUAUCAUCUCCUUGCUGCUCUGUUUAUCACCUCGCCGCCGCAGGCAGCAUUGUUACUGCCAUUAGCGAGCUUCUGUGAUUUGGUGCCGCCUUCUCUGUAACUUCCGCGAUUACGUCCUCGCUCUCACCGUCGAGAACUUCCUUGAGCACCGCCUCCAGACUUUCGUCUUCAAGUUCGGCGUGGCCAAGUCAAUCCACCACGCCAUGGUCCUCAUUCGCCAGCGCCACAUAGAUGUGCUACUCCAGCUUCAUCAAGAUUUGCCAAUAAUAACAAUAAUGAUGAUGCACUAGUUCUAGCAACUAAGAAUAUCAAUAGGCCUAGCAUGGUGGUGAAUGUGAAGGUCUUGAAGAAGCUCUUCUCUGUUAACAACUUUCAAAAGAAACCAAGAAGGAGAGUAAGAUAAUUAUCCUUUUCCUGUGGUGAUUUAUGUCAAUCAGUUGGAGGAUGGCUGGCUAUACUUUCUGUUUCUGGUUUUACAGCUAUAGCUGUAAGAAAGGCUGUGAAGACCGAAAUGAUCGAUCCUGAGCCUAUGGAAAAGCCCCCUCCAUUGCUGUCCAAGCAGGGGUAUGAUGCUGCUCUAGGUAUUGUUGAAAUUUUGACAAUACAGAUAUGUUUGGUUGAAGGUUUAGGGUCCAUGGAUGAGCUCCCUUUUUAACUUCACCUAAAGUCAUCCGCAAAAACUUCCAGGCCUUUUUUGCACCUCAACCAAACAUACCUUAAAUGGCUUUCUUUUUGUUUAGCUGAGUUGAAACUACAUAAUGAACUAGUUUUGUUGUGAAUUUGUUAUUCUUUUUUUAAUAUAGCAGGAUUUUACCUUACAGUUAACCCAAAGAGUACCUUGAUUGCUUGGGAAAUAAUUAGAGUAUGCAUAUAUAUGAUGUGUAGCUUUAGAAAAUGAUAUGCUGCUCAUUUACUCUUUCUCAUGUUCUGUUCUCCCUCCAUUUACUCAUUGAACGAGAAAUUGUAGGUUGUUAAAAAUGUUGCUUCUCAAUCAUUGAAAGUGAAGAAGCUCAUGUACUUGUACCUCCUUCAUUAUUCUGAAAAGUAUGUACAUGUAAUCAGCCUAUAACUCUGAUGUUUAUAGCAUAUUCAGAUGGUCGACCUUUUUGUCAUUCUAUUUCAUUGUAAUUUAGUAUUCGAAUACAGGUCAAGAGUGGGAACAAAGUUUCGGUAUGUACAUCAUCAUACUGGAUUGUUGUUAAUUGAUUAUUUAAUCUGUUUUUAUGUGUAUCUAAUAGAAGUUUUCUUAUCCAUAUUUGGCUGGCAGGAUUAUUCUAAUGCAUCAUUGAAAAAUUAUGCAGUAUGGGCUAACUCAGCGGUGUGUUGUGUUUUAUUUUCGGAGCUUAAGGCUUUGCUUCAUACUGUUCCGGAAGUUGCACGAUUGAUUGGGGCUAAAAAUACAGACCUGGUCUUACGAACCAGUGAUCAGGAUGAUGAAGGGAAGGUAAAAGCUGUUUUGUAGGCAGCAUUCACACACCUAAUGUCAGCUAAUAAAGAGAGAGUCACUGAAGCAGUAAAUAGUUUGAAAUUUCGUCUCCAUGAUGAAAGCAAGGAUAUAUCUGAACAAUUUAAUCAUACAAACAGUCUGAAGCUGAUUGCUAGAGCUCAUCUGUAGUGUAUACUUCAGAAGGGCUAUUCGGCAUCCUGCCAGUGGAUAUGUACAGGGGAUAAAUGAUCUUGUUACACCAUUUUUAGUCGUUUUCCUAUCAGAACACUUGCAAGGGGUAUCGAUAAUUGGUCAAUGUUUGAUCUAUCUGCAGAGAAAAUUUCUAAUAGAGGCUGAUUGCUAUUGGUGCUUGUCCAGAUACUCAUAAAACAUCAUUUAUCAGACACAUGUCAUUAGUUCUUGGACAAGGCUCGCAAUCUUCUUCUACUUGAUUAUAGGUUACAACUGCAGAUGAGUACAUGUUUAGCGUCCAAAGAAUCCCAGAAGGUAGAAGUGGCAAUUUUUUAUCAGGUUACAACUGCAAAUGAGUACAUGUUUAGCGUCCAAAGAAUCCCAGAAGGUAGAAGUGGCAAUUGGAAUAAUCAGAAGAAGUAGCCAGUGAUAAUCAUAAUACCAUGGACUAUUUAUUGAAUUAAAUCAGAACUUGUGGAUAACUACUGCUUAUAGGCCUGUUAGAUAGUUGAUACUUUGUAUAUGAAUUAUUAUUUUUUAUUUCCAAUACGAAAAAGUUAUAUAUUAUGUUUAA